rnacentral:tRNA from 1 species
CACUAAAAAACUUUAAGUAAGUAGUGAUCUCUUAAAUCAGUUAUAUUGAAGUAGCGUUCAUUUUUAGUGA